GCACCCCGGAGGCCCAGGGGACCUUCCCCCUUGGGCUUCCCCUUUCAGGGCCUUGACUCCGGGGGAAAUCUGGAAGCCGCUGAGCCUUAUUACCCAGAGCCCGCUUGACCUCCCAGCAAGGGAAGGAAGGAUGAGAAGGCGGAGGCAUCAGGCUUCUUUCCGCCGCGUCCUAGGAUGGCCGCGAAGCUGCCCGGCCAUUUGUUGGCAGGAAUGGACUGAGGCCCAGAAAGAGGAAAGGGCUGAGGUGGUGGUACACGGUCGUGCCACGAACAGGACCACACCCCAGCGACAGCUCCAGGAGCAGACAACACAGGAGGUAGAUGGCUGCCUCGCCUGCCCAAGAGCUGCUCAUUCCUUGUCUUUCACCAACACACGAACUGAAGACUCCGUACAGCUCAGCAGAAGACUGGUCAAACAAACUGUGGUACAAUCAUAAUGGAAUGCCACCAAAUAAAAUAAAAUAAAAUAAAAUAAAAUAAAAUAAAAUAAAAAAGAGCGAGAGGAAGGAAAAAAAUAAGGUAGGGAAAAGAAAAGAAUGCCAGAGUUUUCUCUUGACAUUGGAAGAUGCCCAUAAUACACUGAAGAAAAAGAGCAAGUUACAGACGGUAUAUUUAGUAACUUAUUUCUCUUCGAAAAAACAGAAAAGGAAUAUCCACAGAAUGGGAGAAAAUACUUGGAACUUAUGUAUCUGAUAUGGGAUUUGUAUCUAGAAUAUACAAAGAACUCUUGUAACUCAAUAGUGAAAAGACAAAUGAGCCACCUUUUCAAAUGGGCAAAGAAUUUAAAUAAACAUUUCUCCGAAGAUAA